UGUAAAUCUUGCUAAAAAAAAAAUAUAUAUAUAUAUAUAUCAGCGAACGCACACGUGUAUCAGCCAAUACCAAUACCAGUAAAAAAAAAAAAUGUCGAUCUCGAUAUGUCGAUCUCUAGUUAUAUCUGCAACUCUCGCUAAAAAAAAAGUGUGACCCUUAGUGGAUAAACGAGGAAUAGCAGUUACUUUUAUUGGAAAAUUGGAGUUAAGCUCUUUUAAGGUAUAUUCACACAAUCCACCCUGAACCCCCCAGCUGUGUUUGGUCUGAGACAGAGAAGUACCUUUUUUUGAAGUUUGCCAGUAGUAUUGGAGCAGCUGAGAACUGCGCACAGUUGUCAAAAGUAACAAAAAAAAAAAUAAAAAUGUGCAAAAAAGUUUACAUUCCAAGCCGCUGAAACAGCUAAUGCUGACCUUCUGUCUAAUAAUAAUGACAUUAAUAGGAAGUCCAUGGUGGACUGUAAGUUAAGACUGGAAGUAAAUGUAAUAAACACAGUUUUCUAAUAUAUACUGAGCUGAAUUUCACAUGCAGCAGUUCUCCAUGGAGAACAAUUCCUGUUAUCUAAUGAAACAUCUCUCAAAUAUUAUAAAGCCAAUUAGUAUUUUUAAAACUGGGGCACAACAAUGUUUUUUUUCUCCCAUUACAGAUGAAUCUAGCUAAUUAUUUUCUCUGUUAAUUGUUAAAUGUCAGAACAUGUUGGGGAAAAAAAUAGCUGCUAUAAUUUCAGCCUUUGGUAAUGUAUUCAAAGAUAUGCAGUUUAAUAUGCAGCAAAAAAAAAAGCAUUGAAUCCUCACAUUUAAGAAGGUGGAUCCAGAGGAUGUUUGGCAUUUUUUUUUGUUACCAGCAAUCAUUCCAACUCUAAUUUAAAUACAUGAAUAAUAAUAACGCGCAGAUCUGCAUGAAGCCGCUCGAGAAACUUAAUAAAAGUGUGAUUUAUCUUUGGGCCUGGAGAGCUGAUCAGAGCUGGGUUCUGCUGAAAGCGUUGGCUGUCACAGACCCAAGUCAUCACUCACUAAAAUCAGACUCCAAAAUAAGGUCAGUUGCAAUUUUAGUUAUUUAUUCACUUUUUUUUUAUUAUUAUUAUUAUUGGUGGCGUCAUUACCGUGAUCGGCGAACAUCAAUCCUCAACCCGAGUAUGCACUUAAACCUCUCUCCACAUCAGCACAAAUACAAGACCUUUCACUCAGUGCUUUGUGUUUGUCAAUACUAUAUUGUGUUUGAGCUGUGCAGCAGGGCAGCGUCUGAGACAAAUUUCCAAAUCAGGCAGUCGAGCAAUCCUGCUGCGUUCGCUUGAGGGAAAUACAGUCCCUGGCAAUCGAUAAAAAACAAGAGUUCAAAGGUCAGAGAGAUUUCUUAGCUCCGUUUAAGUUUUCCGCCGGCUGCCUCUGUAAAUAUUUUAAAGCCUGAAUCGACCACUCCCCAGCUCCUUUUUAGCUCCGCUCUGCUUUUUACCGAAACAUCGACGAACAAAUCAUAUCCUCAGACUUGGCAAUUAGCCACUGCUCUUUUCACAGAAUACCCACUUCAACCUGAGUUUGGCUCCUGCUGAAUACUGCUAGAGGGUGGAAGAAAAAUAAAUGCAUUGAUUUAUUUCAGUUAUUACAGUGUGUCAGAAGACUGGAUAUAAUUCUGCCUACUCACCCGAAGUAAACAAUGUAGAGGAAGAGCGAGUGCCGAGCGGCAAAGGGGUCCAUCUGGUUAGCGGUGAAUUAGCUUGUAAAUAUGAAGAUGAAUAACCACUGCAGUCAAGGUGCCACUGAUCUUUUAUUGCUUCAUUGCAUUUCAUUCUCGUGUUCUGUCUCCGCGGUCACUCUCAUUUUUGUCCCAUCUAUUCCAACAUCCUGUAUAUUAUAUGCUGCUGUAUAUCAGACGCUUCCUGCAUCCCCGCUCACAUUGACCCAGCAAUCAAAUUUACAAUAAUGGCACAACACUAAAAUUCACUUUGCUGUUUGUACAAAGAUGCCCUAAGCUACCAAAUCACAUCCCCCUCACACACCAGAUAUUCUUCUCUUGAAUCUUAAACUGGCUCCCGCUGUAAGAUAUGAAAAUAAAUGCACCACCACUUGUGAACUCACAAGGAGGUGGAUGUGAAGGAGAUUGGAGGCUGAAGUGCAACAAUAAAGACGAUGAAGCUGAAGAAUAAGAACUUGAAAACCCAUUUAGCAGAUGGCUAAAUGAGAGCAGAUGAGAAAAUGGUUGAGCUGAGAUUGAGAUACCAUUUGGGGGGUCCUAAGGAGAUAGAUUUGAGCCAAACUUGAGCACCAAGCGACGCCUGAGGAGAAAUCAGCUCAAAACUCUUGUUGUCUGAGCUAGGGCUGGGUGGUAUACCGGUUCAUACCGAAUACCGGUGUUUGUUUGUUUUGUUUUGUUUUGUUUUUAAUAUACCGACAUACCGUAUAUUUGAUUACACAGCGUUCGGAACGCUGCGCCGCGAGACACUGUUUCAGACCGGACCAUUUUCAAUGUGGCGCUUCUAACCCCACGUCGUGAUACUGCGUCAAUGCUAAUCAUGGUAAAGACGACAAGGUCUGAACAAGAAAGCGGCAAAACAAGAGGAAAAAAGGUGCUGUGUUGGUCGUUUGUUUUUUUUUAGGGUGACCAGACGUCCACGAUUUCUGGGGACAGUCCCCGUUUUGUGGAUGUGGCUAAAGCUGUCCCCGAAAAAUGUCCCCAAUUUUAGCUUUUUAUGAGUGAGAAAGAAAAAAACGUUGCGCGCAGACUAUAAUUAUUACGGUAGGCGGUCGCGCUGCUUUCGUCAAUACAGACAUAGCAGUUUAAAUAUAUUUAAAUAUGAAUAAAUAUGUCUAAAUAUGUCAAAAUAAACGAAACAAUAAUUGUCCCUGUUUUUUUCAUUUCAUCUUGAUAACAUAUAAGUUUUUUUUUUAUCUCCAUGCUGUAAUGUAGAUUUCCACAUUAGCAGUCAGUGCUAUCACGGGGCCAUGCAAACCUGUUUUACUACUAGUGUGGGAUUAUUCUACAACACCUACUCAUCAUCACAGUAAAAUAGUUAAUAGUCAAUCCUUAGUCAAUGUACAGCAUUAAUUCCUCUCUCAGCCAGUAGAAAAUGCUGUGAACACGUGAUACAUGAAAAAAAAAAUACCGUAAUAUACCGUAGGAAUUUUGAAAAAUACCGUGAUAUUCAAUUUCGGUCAUACGAAGAUGAGCUCAGCUUUCUAAGACGCAUAUAAAAAUAGCUGCUACUACAAGUACAUGGAUAGCGUUCAUAAGUUAUGCAACAGUAACAAACUUCCUGUUGUUUUGAACUGUGCCUCCACCUUCACAUUCGGGUGCCUGCAGGAAGGCGUAACAUUCAAGGCUCUCAGACAGCAGCCAGACUUCUAUAUGUAAUUUUCUUAUGAAAAUCAUACCUCUGGUUCCGGAGUUUGAUGAAAAAUAAAAUAAGUGUUAGCAGAGUGGGAAACAUCCCGCCUGAAGCAGGAAGGUCUGUUUUCCCGUCAGGUGCAUGUUUACCCGGCCUGCCUGCCGUCGCUCUCGUGUUCUCCGUUUCUUCCCCGUGUCUUGUCACCGCUCCAUCGACCCACUUCCAUGGGAAUCAUUAAAGUUUCAUCUUAUCUCAAAAUCAGAAAUGGUCGGCGCUGAAAGCCGAGAAGGAGAAAAGGAGAACGCCGACACAACUGAGGAGUGUUAAUCACGGCCCACAUCUCUACAUCUGUUGUCCCCGCAUGCACCAUCUACUGACCUGCCUGUGAACGAUGUCUUCACCCCUAACUCACUGACGUUUAUUAAAAUUUUACUGACAUUUCCACAUUAAAAACAGCUGUAGUUGGGGUUGCUCUUGGUUACGGCUCAUGUUCAUUUCAUGCCAUUAGUGUACAACAGCUGCUUAAUUUGUAGGAGGUAAUUACUGAUAAUGAGGGUCAGAGAGGACGUAUAAUGUCACGACUGGUGUUUUUGAAGAUGCUAUUGUACGUGGAAAUGCUUUAACGAGCCUUUAUAGAAUAUAGAUUUUAUUCUGCCAAUUUUGUAUAAAUGGUGUAAAUAAGACUAGCUUAAUUUGAUCUUAUUUUUAAUUUUAUUUUGCACUUGUAGUUUAGGGAACAACUUUAUUAGACCAAUUCAUUCUCAUCUGGUGGAAAAGGAAAGAAAAACACGUAGUUCUGAUUGAACAGACCAAAGAGGAAUUUCUUUGAAGAGGUCAAUGGUAAAAAAAUUAAUUUGUUUGCAUUUAGGCAACAACAUCCUAAACAUUAUAGUUCUAACAUAUACUAACAUUUAUUGUCUGAAAUUCACUGCACUCGGAUACAAAUCUGACGACUCUGAAGAUUUAACGCAAACCUCAACACAAUCAUCGGUCCUCCCUGUUGUGCCAUCGGCUGUGAGGCCCAGAGCACUGGGAAACAGCCCCGUCAGUGUCUUUCUGUUAAUCCUUAAUAUCAAUCUUAAUUAAACACCCACGCUCACCACUUCCCUGUGACAUUUAAUAACUCCAGUAUGAAAACAAUGAGAACGACGCCGGGAAAAACAAUGGAGGAAAUUUAAGAAACUGAGAACAAAGUGUCAAGGGGGCUCGUAACUGAGGAUGAACUAAACACAGUCUGCAAUAAAACAACAGGCUGAAGUGCGUCGAUCUUGGACGUGGACUCAACUACUUGUGCCACUAAAUCAGGAGUUGUUUAUAUAUUAAGUUAUGAGACUGAAAGUGUAAUCUAUGUUGAUAUGUAGAGAGAUUGGUGAAAUACUGAAGUAAAAAUUGAUAUUAAAGAUAAUGUUAUAUGCACUUCCGUCAUUGUAAAAAUCAUAUGAAUUUAAGAACUCAGCUUAUAUUUAUCCAAGAUACCUCAAUAAAAGUAGUUAUCUAUAAAUAUAACGUUUUAAAACGUAAUUUCAAUAACACUUAAAUAAUUAUUUUAAGUCUGUUAGAGUAUUUUACUUUUUAUUAGUUUCCGCCCUAAGCUCCACCCACAUGCCUAUAUUUGGAAUAGCGGCGGGAAGCGGAGUCUCUCACAACCAACAUGGCGGCCCCCAUGCUCGAGCUUCAUUUCCGCUCUUCACAGUCUAACGGCUGACGUAAAGGAGGGUUUGUGCAGCUUUUCGAUCCAGUUUAUGUUCAGAAUCAAGUGGGACUCUGGUUUCUAUGAACUUCGUCACUCCUCCUCCUCCUCCUCUGGUUGGUGUUUCAGCCUCCGCGUCGUGGCUUCUCUCCUGCUUAAGGUGAUUUUCCAGAUGGAAUCUGAAGAUGAGUCGUCUUCGUCUGACUUGGUCACCUUCUCAUCCUGAACUUUUCCUCAGACCUCAGAGCAUUUCUGACUCCUUGGGCAUAUUUAUGUUUAUUUAAAUAAAAUAGACUUGCAUUGUGACUUCUUGCAUGGAACUAAAUGAAAACAUGAUUUGUCAGAAAAAUAAAACCUUUUUGUCAAACCAAAGAAUGACUGAUGGGUUAUUUUGUCUGGACUGUUCCUAAUAUUUUCUCUGACUUGUAAAAAACAUUUCAGUAUCAGUCACCAACACCUCAAUAACAAACACACAUAAGACAGAACUUCAUAAAGGCACCUCUCUGUGUUUCUAAUAAAGAGAUCCAUUGAGGUUUUGUGGUGAAACAUCAGUCUGAGACUUCAAAAGGUCGUUUGUCUGGUGUGAAGUUCUCCGGGUUCAUGUUCAGAUCCAGGUCGGACAGUGACUUGAAGGAAACUCCUUCUCAGCCAGAGGAGCGGUUUCAUGGAUUUCGAUUCUUUUCGUGAGACGAAACGUUCAUCUGAGUCAGGAGUCGAAGAUUCAAAGAGCCGAAAAAUCCGAGAAAAUGGGAAGGACGGGGAUUGAACCCCGACCUCCCGCGGUCAAACCCUUUACCUUACCGCUACACUAAAAGUCAACUGGUCGCAGGUCGAUGCCUGGAGCUGGGUAGUUGCCUUUUUUGACCUCAUACGAUAAAUAGCAGUUAAAAAUUUUCAAAAUCGAUUUGAAAGCUAGCUCAGGUCGAUAAAAAGAUGGCCGCCGACCUUGAGGUUGUAGGUUCGAGACCAGGUUUUGCUUUUAACCUUUUUUUUUGGCCGGUGUCUCUCAAAACACUGUCGCCUUCGGCCUCGAACCUACUGCCUCUCUCCCCCCAUCCCCUCUCCUUACUCCCUGAGCUAUUUGCUCACACUUUCUACUACAUUUUUUGGUAUAUUUGUCAUCUAAUUUUGGCCAAAAACUCUCAAAAAAAAAAAAAAUGGCUCCGCCUCUCACUGACUCCGC